UCCAGAAUACGCCCCACAGUCAGCCCUCCCUUCACCUCAAGGCACCCCAGGGACCCCAUCCUUUCACAUCAAAGGAUCUCCGUACCCCAGAGAGCACCCUCAUCACCCCAAGGGACCCCCACACCUAAGGAGGACCGUCCCCACCAUCCCCAUACCACGUCCACCUACCGCGCAGCACUGGGAGCGCCAGUCCUGUCCCCACGUCCCACUGGUGCCACCGGUCCCCACGGCACCCUGCAGAGCUGGGAACGCCUUCCCAGUGUAGGCAGCCACGCUGGAAAUGCUCGUCCCCAUCACUGCAGGGACGGGACCCCAGUGUGGCUGCAGCAAAGCAGCUGUCACCGCAGCGUUCCACCAGGAACGCCUGUCCUGCCGCCCCAGCAGCAGCACUGGGAAUGCCUGUCCCCAGUGCGCCGCGGCACUGGAAAUGCCUGUUCCCACCAGGCCGGGAGGCUUUGGAAGGGCUGAGCACAGCGUGCAGUGCUGGAAACUCCUGUCCUCUCCUCCACGUGGCCCCGUUCGGCCUCCAGCCACGGUUGUUGGUGCAGAUGUCCUCACCAGGAAGACCUCCGGUGGAAGACCAUCGCGUCUUCAUGCAUCCUCCACCGUUUGUGAUCAUGCAAUAUUCAUGCUGUGUUGAUGUAUUUGUACCAAUAUCCUCUAUAGCAUGCAUUUCAGUCAUGGAUAGCUUAUGGAGAAUGCAUUAAUAACAUUUUUAAAGAGGAAAAAUGGAGUGGAAAGUGAAGUUUUCUGGAACUUGAUGGCUGUCCUUGCAGAAGUCGUGCUCUUUCAUCCUCCACCCUCCAUUGCAUGCUCUGCCUUUCCCCAAAAUACUUCUUAGGAGUGAAAAUUAAAGCUGACAGACUGUCCCUUGAUUAGUGUGGGUGGUUUCACCACACAGUGACAUGUGAGUGGGGACUUUCUUCAAAACUUUAACUGAAUCGGGUGAUUCUGUGUGGGGGUGCCCAACAAAUUUGAUACCUCGAGCUUAAGUUUCAGACACCGUGAGCCUGGAGCUGUGUUUGAAUUCUGGAUGCUGCCAUUUCUGUUUAGAAGAAUUAGUUCCAAAUAGUGAUGUAUUUUUGGAAAAUCUUCUGGGAACUGGUGAAACCUCAUUUUUUAUUCUUGUGAAAAAAAAAAAAAAAAUUUGCUGUUUCAGUAUUUACUAUAGUAAAGUGUAUUACUUUCGAGCGUUCA